GACGAACCGUGCGAACGUUGUUCGGAAUCACUGGGCUUAAAGGGCGCGUAGGCGGGCUGACAAGUCUGGGGUGAAAUGCCGCGGCUCAACCGUGGAACUGCCUCAGAUACUGUCGGCCUCGAGGAAGGUAGGGGCAUGCGGAACUGUAGGUGGAGCGGUGAAAUGCGUUGAUAUCUACAGAAACUCCGGUGGCGAAAGCGGCGUGCUGGACCUUUUCUGACGCUGAGGCGCGAAAGCUAGGGGAGCAAACGGG
rnacentral:rRNA from 1 species